CCUACGGGAGGUAGCAGUGAGGAAUAUUGGUCAAUGGACGAGAGUCUGAACCAGCCAAGUAGCGUGAAGGAUGACUGCCCUAUGGGUUGUAAACUUCUUUUAUAUGGGAAUAAAACGUUCCACGAGUGGGAGUUUGUAUGUACCAUAUGAAUAAGGAUCGGCUAACUCCGUGCCAGCCGCCGCGGUUAUACGGAGGAUCCGAGCGUUAACCGGAUUUUUUUAGUUUAAAGGGAGCGUAGGUGGAUUGUUAAGUUAGUUGUGAAAGUUUGCGGCUCAAACGUAAAAUUGCAGUUGAAACUGGCAGUCUUGAGUACAGUAGAGGUGGGCGGAAUGCGUGGUGUAGCGGUGAAAUGCUUAGAUAUCACGAAGAACUCCGAUUGCGAAGGCAGUUCACUGGACUGCAACUGACACUGAGGCUCGAAAGUGUGGGUAUCAAACAGGAUUAGAUACCCGAGUAGUC
rnacentral:rRNA from 1 species